CUGGCUUUCUCUGCGCUUCCUGGCCGUGACGAUAACGGUCUCUCUUCUUUCCCAGUCCGAUUCGACCAUGACGACAUGGGGCUCUACCACGCGGCGCUACCUCCGGGCGCGUCGCUUUUCUUGCCAGUGGUCCACCCUUCAAAAAGGUGGCCUACUAUUACAAGUGUCCGAGCCUCGCAGCGAGAUUGAGAUUAAGCUUCAGAACGGAAAAAUACAGAAACGGUCCCGUGA